rnacentral:lncRNA from 1 species
GCGUGCUGUUGUUUUAAAAAUAUUUUAUUUAUUAUUGUAUUUUUUUGUAUAAGUAGGGAUGUGAUGAAGGGUUUGCGAUAAGAAGAUGUGGUAUAAUUGCCAAUGAGACAACUCUCCACAAGAGACCAAAAUGACACAGAUAUCAACAACUAUAGGUCAACAUACAGCCUUAAACAAUGAGCAAAGCCCAUACUGCAUGGUCAGCUAUAACAGGUCCCGAAAUGACAAUGUAAAACAAUUCAAACGAGAAAACUAACAGCCUUAUUUAUGUACAAAUAAUGAACGAAAAAGAAAUGUGUAACACAUAAACAAACGACGACCACUGAAUUUUAUGGUAUACUAUGACUUGACUUCUUCAAGAUUGGUGCAAAUUAUAUAAGAUUCUUCAAUCUCCUGGAAAACAUCGCCAACCAACAUAUUAACUUCAGUAUGGUGAUGCAGCAUCUUACCAGAGGCUGAUUUAGGGGGCAGGGGACCCGGGCCCCCUCCUUUUUGGGAAAAAAAUGGUUGCUUAUAUAGGGAAUCACUGAAGCAUGACUCGAGCGGCCCCCUCUUAGGUCAGUCAGGGGGCCCCCAAUUUCUGGAUCCGCC